rnacentral:rRNA from 1 species
GAUGAACGCUGGCGGCGUGCCUAAUACAUGCAAGUCGAGCGAACGGACGAGAAGCUUGCUUCUCUGAUGUUAGCGGCGGACGGGUGAGUAACACGUGGAUAACCUACCUAUAAGACUGGGAUAACUUCGGGAAACCGGAGCUAAUACCGGAUAAUAUUUUGAACUGCAUGGUUCAAAAGUAAAAGACGGUCUUGCUGUCACUUAUAGAUGGAUCCGCGCUGCAUUCGCUAGUUGGUAAGGUAACGGCUUACCAAGGCAACGAUGCAUAGCCGACCUGAGAGGGUCGUCGCCCACACUGGAACUGAGACACGGCCCAGACUCCUACGGGAGGCCGCAGUCGGGAAUCUUCCGCAAUGGGCGAAAGCCUGACGGAGCAACGCCGCGUGAAGGAUGAAGGUCUUCGGAUCGUAAAGCGCUGUUAUUAGUAAAGAACAAAUGUGUAAGUAACUGGGCACAUCUUGACGGUACCUAGUCAGAAAGCCCCGGCUAACUACGUG